AUUGAACGCUGGCGGCAUGCCUAACACAUGCAAGUCGAACGGCAGCAAGAAAUGGGGUAACCCAUUUUGAUGGCGAGUGGCGGACGGGUGAGUAAUAUGUAGGAAUCUACCUAGAGGUGCGGGAUAACUUAGGGAAACUUAAGCUAACACCACAUAAGCCCCACGGGGGAAAGCAGGGGACCGCAAGGCCUUGCGCCUUAUGAUGAGCCUACAUCGGAUUAGCUUGUUGGUGGGGUAAAGGCCUACCAAGGCGACGAUCCGUAGCUGGUCUGAGAGGAUGAUCAGCCACACUGGGGCUGAGACACGGCCCAGACUCCUACGGGAGGCAGCAGUGGGGAAUAUUGGACAAUGGGCGAAAGCCUGAUCCAGCAAUGCCGCGUGUGUGAGGAAGGCCUUAGGGUUGUAAAGCACUUUCAGUGGGGAGGAAGUUGAGUUUGCUAAUACCAGAUUCAAUUGACGUUACCCACAGAAGAAGCACCGGCUAACUCUGUGCCAGCAGCCGCCGUAA
rnacentral:rRNA from 1 species